UAACAAUACUUUCAGUAUUGUUUAAUUGUAACAGGUAUUUGUUACAAAUUCUUAUAAGAACUCAGAUUUUGAAAAAAAAACUUUGAGAAAUUUAAUAAAUUCAAAAUAGACGUGAUUUUGUAACGAUUUGCAUUGAAUACGGACAGACAAAUUGAAAUAAUAUUCAAAGCUUUCUAGAAAUUGACUUACUGUACUUAAGUUUGGCUACUUCUGCCUAGUGCCUUAUGCCGCCUUUGGUGGGAAUUUUAUUUAACUUGCUUUCAAAUAUCCCCAAACUCCAUAUAAUAUAGAGUUAAAAGCUCAAGUGAGAUUUUCUUAGGAAAAGGAGUUUGGUGUGAUGGUUCUGGAGACCUGUGCUGUAGUUCAGCUGUGAGGCUGCUGCUGCUGCUGAAUUGUAAACAAAGCAAGUUAUUACUUAACUACAAAUUUCUUCUUUCUGACAUCUUUUCUAUAUGCCUCAUAAAUUUGUUCGAUUAAUAGUAGACAAUCUAUUUAGAAUUGGUUUAAAACAAUAAAAGUACUACAUAAGUUGCCAUUAAACUGAUUAAGCUGAGAGAACCGGGGCAUAGUGAGACUAUUUAGGUAACUAGUAACAGGAUUAAGGAGGUACCUGUACUGCUUCUUUGUAUCGAAUAGGUCUUUGGAGUUCUUAAACUAUUCUCAGCCUCCAGAUGCUUGGAAUUGUAUAGGCAUCAUUUGAAACAUGGAAAUAAAACACGGUUACUAGUCUACACAAUUUGAAUUUUGAAAAACAUUUGCUCUGCAUCUAAGUAGUUUACAUUUGUUUAAAAGCUCUGAUCUUUUCAGUUAAAUUUUCUAGAUGUUUAUCAGGAGAGAUAGUUUUCAAGAACUUAAUACAUUCAUCAAAAGGAAAAAAGUCUUAGAACUAUACAAGAUAAACAUAUAGUGUUCCAAAGUGCCAUAUUAAGGUUUGCAAAAUAUCUCUUAAUUGGGGCCAGGCACGGUGGCUCACCCCCGUAAUCCCAGCACUUUGGGAGGCCGAGGCAGGCGGAUCACGAGGUCAGGAGAUCAAGACCAUCCUGGCCAACACGGUGAAACCCUGUCUCUACUAAAAAUACAAAAAUUAGCCAGGCAUGGCGGCGCACGCCUGUAGUCCCACCUACUCGGGAGGCUGAGGCUGGAGAAUUGCUUGAACCCAGGAAGCGGAGGCUGCAGUGAGCCGAGAUGGCGCCACUGCACUCCAGCC
rnacentral:lncRNA from 10 species